rnacentral:rRNA from 1 species
CUGCGUGAAGCCGGAAUUGCUAGUAAUCGCGGAUCAGCAUGCCGCGGUGAAUACGUUCCCGGGCCUUGUACACACCGCCCGUCACACCAUGAGAGCCGGGGGGACCCGAAGUCCGUAGUUUAACCGCAAGGAGGACGCGGCCGAAGGUAAACUGGUGAUUGGGGUGAAGUCGUAACAAGGUACC